CAAACUCGGAUCCUGUGCUUGCAAGGCAGGCGAUGGAAUCACUCAGCUAAAUCCUUGGCCACUGCACCUAAUUUCCUUUUGAGUGUUAUAAGUGGAAUCACCCUGCCCUGAGCCUAAAGCUCACAACAAGCACCUCCUCCUGGAUGGGGAUCCUUCCCAGCUGAGCUCUCAGGCAGACCACAGCCUUAGUCAUGAUUGAUCAUUUCUGAUUUCUGGCCAGAGAAACUCCCCCCCCAAGCAAGAUCCUGCCCAACAGAGAGAGAAAAACCCUAACCGAUGCAUUGCCUACAAGAACAGUGAUGACAGGAAGCCCGCUACAACCUCGCUCAUUCACACCUGCAAGGAGGCCGAUUCUCCAAAAACCAACGGCACCCAUUCUACCCUGCUGAACCUGCCAUUGCCCUGGUACUCUCACACUCUCCUGUGUACCAGCCUCAAGCCCAUCACCCAAGAGAGCCCCAAAUUUUCUGCUCUCUGAGCUGACACACUCUCCCAUACUUAAACUUCCCUCUGUAAACCACAUGCACCCUCCUUCUUAUGCCAACUGCCUUUUUACCCUUGACCCAUCUGCACCCAGAUGGAAGGAAACUCAUCACAUGUUGCUUAGAUUUUACCUGCCUCGGUGGUCUCCCUCCUGCUCAGGUUGAACUUUACAUUUGGUUGCCCAUACAGGGAGGUCUUAGCUCCCCUCAAAGGAGGGUCUAAGCUCCCUACUUUGAACACCCCCAGACAUCUUCAAGCCACCCUGACAUCCAACCUCAGCCCUCUUCCACCCACAGCUUGCUGCUAGUCCAGGUCUCCUCGUCAGGUCAGCUGCCCAAAAGACUGAAGAAUCUCCGACUCAGUCCUGGCCUUACUGAAAGAGGUAGACUCCCUGGCAGGAGUGGAAGCCCAGAAGCAGUGUGCCCUGGAUUUUUUACUGCAAAAAAGGAAGGCAUCUAUGUCUUCUUGGGAGAAGAAUGCUGUUUUAAUCAAACAGGUCCGUGGUCCUCCUCCAGACAAUACAAGAGCUCUGAGAAUGAGCACCAGGCUCAAAAAACAGUCUGAGAUGGGGGAAUUAUCAAUGAUUGGCGAGGCAUCCUUCGAACAGGCACAACAGGCAGGAAUGGCAGGACCCCAAGUGAGAGCCCUGCCCAACUGAGAGGCAACAAACCUCGACAGACUCAUUGCCUGCAAGAACAGCAAUGGCUGGAAGCCAGCUACCACCUCGCUCAUUCACAGCACGGAGACCGAUUCUCUGAAAGAGCACAGGUCACUUGUUGUACCUUGCUGUACUGCCAUCACCCUGCUGCUCUCACCCCAUCCUGUUCAUCAGCCUCAGGCCUAUUACUCCAAAGACCCCAAAACUUUCCACUCUCCAAGGUGGCACCCCCCCACCUAAACUCCCCUCUAAACCGCACGCACCCUCCUUCCUAUGCCAACCACCUUUGCGUCCUUGGACCAUCUGCACCCAGAUGGCAAUAAACUCAUUGCGGUUUGCUUAGAUUUUGCCUGCC